rnacentral:lncRNA from 1 species
UACCGGAAAUGUUAUGAAAAUGACCCGAUUCACCCUCAUAUCGGACAUGAUAUCGAGAGAUGGUAUUUUUGGCAAUCAUAUCGGACGAAGUAUGAGACGGCUAAUUAGUUGACAAGUUUAGAUAUUAGGUUCACGCGUAGUGGGAUAUCUAUAUGGAUCGCCAGAGAUACUAGUAAGCAGCUAAAAAGAAAAGUUGUUUUUGCUCACUUGAAUAUAAAAUCAUAAUGUUAUUUGAAUUAUUGUCUCUACAGAUCGAUUUUAGAAAUCUCGCAACAGUAAAUAUG